rnacentral:rRNA from 1 species
GAUUGAACGCUGGCGGCAGGCCUAACACAUGCAAGUCGAACGGUAACAGGAAGCAGCUUGCUGCUUUGCUGACGAGUGGCGGACGGGUGAGUAAUGUCUGGGAAACUGCCUGAUGGAGGGGGAUAACUACUGGAAACGGUAGCUAAUACCGCAUAACGUCGCAAGACCAAAGAGGGGGACCUUCGGGCCUCUUGCCAUCGGAUGUGCCCAGAUGGGAUUAGCUUGUUGGUGGGGUAACGGCUCACCAAGGCGACGAUCCCUAGCUGGUCUGAGAGGAUGACCAGCCACACUGGAACUGAGACACGGUCCAGACUCCUACGGGAGGCAGCAGUGGGGAAUAUUGCACAAAGGGCGCAAGCCUGAUGCAGCCAUGCCGCGUGUAUGAAGAAGGCCUUCGGGUUGUAAAGUACUUUCAGCGGGGAGGAAGGGAGUAAAGUUAAUACCUUUACUCAUUGACGUUACCCGCAGAAGAAGCACCGGCUAACUCCGUG